rnacentral:rRNA from 1 species
CACGAACGCUGGCGGCAGGCUUAACACAUGCAAGUCGAGCGCCCCGCAAGGGGAGCGGCAGACGGGUGUGUAACGCGUGGGAAUCUACCCAUCUCUACGGAAUAACGCAUGGAAACGUGUGCUAAUACCGUAUACGUCCUUCGGGAGAAAGAUUUAUCGGAGAUGGAUGAGCCCGCGUUGGAUUAGCUAGUUGGUGGGGUAAAGGCCUACCAAGGCGACGAUCCAUAGCUGGUCUGAGAGGAUGAUCAGCCACACUGGGACUGAGACACGGCCCAGACUCCUACGGGAGGCAGCAGUGGGGAAUAUUGGACAAUGGGCGCAAGCCUGAUCCAGCCAUGCCGCGUGAGUGAUGAAGGCCCUAGGGUUGUAAAGCUCUUCCACCGGUGAAGAUAAUGACGGUAACCGGAGAAGAAGCCCCGGCUAACUUCGUGCCAGCCGCCGCCGUAACAC